UGGGAGUGUUUCCUUGUGUUUUGUGUCUU
rnacentral:piRNA from 1 species